rnacentral:rRNA from 1 species
AACGACCGCUGGCGGCAUGCCUAAAACAUGCAAGUCGAACGAGAUCUUCGGGUCUAGUGGCGCACGGGUGCGUAACGCGUGGGUAUCUGCCCUUUGGUUCGGAAUAACAGUUGGAAAUGACUGCUAAUACCGGAUGAUGACGAAAGUCCAAAGAUUUAUCGCCAGAGGAUGAGCCCGCGUAGGAUUAGCUAGUUGGUGUGGUAAAGGGGCACCAAGGCGACGAUCCUUAGCUGGUCUGAGAGGAUGAUCAGCCACAUUGGGACUGAGACACGGGCCAGACUCCUACGGGAGGCAGCAAUGGGGAAUAUUAGACAAUGGGCGAAGGCCUGAUCCAGCAAUGCCGCGUGAGUGAUGAAGGCCUUAGGGUUGUAAAGCUCUUUUACCCGGGAUGAUAAUGACAGUACAGGGAGAAUAAUCUCCGGCCAACUCCGUGCCAGGCGCCGCCGUAA